rnacentral:rRNA from 1 species
AGGUGCGAUCAUACCAGCGUUAAUGUACUGUAUCCCAUCAGAGCUCCGCAGUUAAGCGCGCUUGGGCUAGAGUAGUACUGUGAUGGGUGACCUUCUGGUAAGUCCAAGUGUUGCACCCU